rnacentral:rRNA from 2 species
UACGUAGGCAGCGAGCGUUGUUCGGAGUUACUGGGCGUAAAGCGUGCGUAGGCGGUGGUCCAAGUCUGGUGUGAAAUCUCCCGGCUUAACUGGGAGGGUGCGCCGGAAACUGGGCCGCUGGAGUACGGGAGAGGCAAGCGGAAUUCCAGGUGUAGCGGUGAAAUGCGUAGAUAUCUGGAGGAACACCCGUGGUGCAGACGGCUUGCUGGACCGUGACUGACGCUGAGGCACGAAAGCGUGGGUAGCAAACAGG